rnacentral:siRNA from 1 species
CGUUCGUGUGCCAGACUUGCCAUC